rnacentral:rRNA from 1 species
GAGUUUGAUCGUGGCUCAGAUUGAACGCUGGCGGCAGGCCUAACACAUGCAAGUCGAGCGGAUGACGGGAGCUUGCUCCUUGAUUCAGCGGCGGACGGGUGAGUAAUGCCUAGGAAUCUGCCUGGUAGUGGGGGACAACGUUUCGAAAGGAACGCUAAUACCGCAUACGUCCUACGGGAGAAAGCAGGGGACCUUCGGGCCUUGCGCUAUCAGAUGAGCCUAGGUCGGAUUAGCUAGUUGGUGGGGUAAUGGCUCACCAAGGCGACGAUCCGUAACUGGUCUGAGAGGAUGAACAGUCACACUGGAACUGAGACACGGUCCAGACUCCUACGGAGGCAGCAGUGGGAAUAUUGGACAAUGGGCGAAAGCCUGAUCCAGCCAUGCCGCGUGUGUGAAGAAGGUCUUCGGAUUGUAAAGCACUUUAAGUUGGAGGAAGGCAGUAAGUAAUACCUUGCUGUUUGACGUUACCGACAGAAUAAGCACCGGCUAACUCUGUG